CCUCAUUUAAGGUUUUUGUCUUUAAAUAUAUAUACAACUAUUAUUAUCCGUAUCCAUCUUCGUGUGACGUCACAGGAUAUCAUAGGAUAGGAUUUGGAUAAGUAUUUUUUCCUCAGUGCGACGUGUUCUUGAAUGCGUGGGAAACGUACCGGAAAGUGAGCGCAUCCUGGAUGGCCAGGUCGGCGUGACACAUCGUAAACUCCAGGUGGUGCGAUGUACCGAGUACCAACGCGCGUGUAAUGCUACCAAAGGAGACGUACGCUUGAGUUUUAUCGUUCUGGGUCACAAAUUCGGGGUAGAUUAACUGAAACGUCAACGGAUGGUACGUUGCCAUUGAGGCUCAAUUCAAGAUGAUAUCUCGUACCUACAGACACCGAGAAUAUUAUUGGAUUGAUGGAACUAGACGAGGAGAUGAAGUUGAAUGGUAACAUCGUGGUAAACUAACUUGCGUGAAACUUGGGGAAUCAAAGCAAAUAUGCCGAAAGUGCCCGUCGGAGCAGAGGUCAUCAUAUAUCUCACUCCCACCCUCUGACGCUAUCACUUGGUCUACAAAGCUUGCCAAUGUUUCACCACACCGUGAAACUCCAUUGCGCAGCGGCGGUUGUACAACUAUGAAAUUACUCGACAAUGUACACGCUGUUUCCAAAUUAUAGCACUUUACUUUUCUGAAUAUUUAUUCCUCAUCGGUGCAAUCAAAUUGCAGCGUAAUAGACUUCUUUUCAAGGAGAAAGGAAGCCGCUCUAUCCAGCACAGAAUCGUGAGAAAGACAUUCCGUUGUGCCGACGAAAGGGGUAAAAAUACGUCUAAUCAUAACGAUAAUAUUCAAUCUCAACUUCUCCAAACUAUUAUUAUAUACCGUGUAUCUUACGUGUGUAUCUUAUGUGAGUAUGUACUUGAAUAUAUAAUGAAAAUAGUCAACAGUUAGUUUCCACAGUUGAAAUGAACUUAAAUAAGAAGAAAACGAAUGAAAUUGUCGAAAGUUUCGUGGGCUCGUAUAAUUUUCCCUGGCAAAGGUACGGCCAUAUUCUCAGGUACACAGUUUGCCUGGUCAACAUUUAUGUAUAUCGAUGGUUUCCGACAACCCGAAUAUUGCCGUUCAGCGCACACUCUGUGACCCUCCAUCAAGCCCCGCUUUCCCUACCCUCAACCCCCAAUCACCCCACCAUUCUCUCUCAUUCUCUCUUUUCCACCCCCCCUGUCUCACUCCUCACUGUAAUACCCCUCCCCGACAUUUGUGCUUCACGUGGUGCCUCGCGAACGCUAAUGCGCGCGUAAUUUCCGCGAGGUAAAUCUCUUCAUCUGGCUCUCGAAUAUUUGCCUGUGAAUUGCAACCCAUCGAGUUCAUUAUUUUAAUCCAUACUGGCAUAAACAAAGCACAAGCUUAUACUGUGAAUUGCUCGUCGUAUUAUAACGUCCCCCGUUCACCAUCACCGUCGCCAAACCAAUUCACUAUAUUAUGUGUCCGUUUAUGAUGAUGCCGAUGAUCUGAAUACAAACUCGAGUGAACACAAUUCAUAUAUUUACCCAUACUCGUGCAGUUUGAGAUUAAUUCAAGCCCGUUGUUCCCAUAUUUCCUAAAUAAGCCCGCAAUACAAAGCUAUGCGAAAUACUCACCGAGAAUGAGAAAAGUAUGCUCUCAGUUGGCUAGUUACUCAUUAACAUGUAAUUACAUUGUGAUAUGUGAUAACAA